AUUGAACGCUGGCGGAAUGCUUUACACAUGCAAGUCGAACGGCAGCACGGACUUCGGUCUGGUGGCGAGUGGCGAACGGGUGAGUAAUGUAUCGGAACGUGCCCAGUCGUGGGGGAUAACGUAGUGAAAAUUACGCUAAUACCGCAUACGAUCUAUGGAUGAAAGCGGGGGAUCGCAAGACCUCGCGCGAUUGGAGCGGCCGAUGUCAGAUUAGGUAGUUGGUGGGGUAAAGGCCCACCAAGCCAACGAUCUGUAGCUGGUCUGAGAGGACGACCAGCCACACUGGAACUGAAACACGGUCCAGACUCCUACGGGAGGCAGCAGUGGGGAAUUUUGGACAAUGGGCGAAAGCCUGAUCCAGCCAUUCCGCGUGCAGGAUGAAGGCCCUCGGGUUGUAAACUGCUUCUGUACAGAACGAAAAGGUUUCUACUAAUACUAGGAGCUCAUGACGGUACUGUAAGAAUAAGCACCGGCUAACUACGUGCCAGCAGCCGCGGUAA
rnacentral:rRNA from 1 species